rnacentral:rRNA from 1 species
UGAAUACGAGAUACUACGGUGUCGAAGCAGUCUAUGUCAUACUUCCAAGAAAAGCUUGCACUGUCAUAAACAAAUAAUGCCUGUACCAUAACCGACACAGGUGGGUAGGUAGAGUAUACUAAGGGGCGCGAGAUAACUCUCUCUAAGGAACUCGGCAAAAUGACUCCGUAACUUCGGGAGAAGGAGUGCCUUAUAUUUAUAAGGUUGCAAUAACAAGAUCCAAGCAACUGUUUAUCAAAAACACAGGUCUCCGCUAAGUCGUAAGACGAUGUAUGGGGGCUGACGCCUGCCCAGUGCCAGAAGGUUAAAGAAGUUGGUUAGCUUUUGCGAAGCUGAUAACUGAAGCCCUGGUGAACGGCGGCCGUAACAAUAACGGUCCUAAGGUGGCGAAAUUCCUUGUCGGGUAAGUUCCGACCCGCACGAAAGGCGUAAUGAUUUGGAUACUGUCUCGGAGAGGGACUCGGUGAAAUAGACUUGUCUGUGAAGAUGCGGACUACUUGCACCAGGACAGAAAGACCCUAUGAAGCUUUACUGUAACCUGAAAUUGAAAUUGGACUUUACUUGCGCAGGAUAGGUGGGAGGCUUUGAGAAUAUUCUUGCGGGAAUAUUGGAGCCAUCAGUGAGAUACCACUCUGGUAAUGUUAGAUUUCUAACUUUGUAUCAUUAUCUGGUCAAAGAACAGUUUCAGGCGGGCAGUUUGACUGGGGCGGUCGCCUCCUAAACGGUAACGGAGGCGCACAAAGGUUUCCUCUGAACGGGUAGAAAUCGUAUCUAGAGUGUAAAGGCAUAAGGAAGCUUGACUGUGAGACCUACAAGUCGAGCAGGGACGAAAGUCGGUCUUAGUGAUCUGACGGUGCUGAGUGGAAAGGCCGUCACUCAACGGAUAAAAGUUACUCUAGGAUAACAGGCUGAUCUCCCCCAAGAGUUCACAUCGACGGGGAGGUUUGGCACCUCGAUGUCGGCUCAUCGCAUCCUGGGGCGGUAGUACGUCCCAAGGGUUGGGCUGUUCGCCCAUGAAAGCGGUACGCGAGCUGGGUUCAGAACGUCGUGAGACAGUUCGGUCCAUAUCCGGUGUAAGCGUUAGAAUAUUGAGAGGAGCCUUCUUUAGUACGAGAGGACCGAGAAGGAUGCACCGCUGGUGUACCAGUUAUUGUGCCAACAGUAAGCGCUGGGUAGUUAUGUGUGGAGUGGAUAACCGCUGAAAGCAUCUAAGUGGGAAGCCCACCUCAAGAUAAG